rnacentral:other from 1 species
CUGUCCCUGCGGUAUGCGUGCUUUGAGUGAAAAAUAUUGAACCUAUACGCUUAACUAUGGGAGCCCGACCUCGUCAGUACCUUGGUAUUGAUGCUAAGGUUCCCACCUGUACAUAACAGGGUCAAUAUAAUUCAGCCUCACACGGUAUCCGCGGGGCCUUU